GACGUAGGGCGCGAGCGUUGUCCGGAUUUAUUGGGCGUAAAGAGCUCGUAGGCGGUCUGUCGCGUCGGCUGUGAAAACCCGAGGCUCAACCUCGGGCCUGCAGUCGAUACGGGCAAACUAGAGUACUGCAGGGGAGACUGGAAUUCCUGGUGUAGCGGUGAAAUGCGCAGAUAUCAGGAGGAACACCGGUGGCGAAGGCGGGUCUCUGGGCAGUAACUGACGCUGAGGAGCGAAAGCGUGGGGAGCGAACAGG
rnacentral:rRNA from 1 species